GUCAAACUAAAGGCGAGGAGGAGACGCGGCUGGGACGCGGUCUCCGGGCAGCUCGGGCCGGGCCGGGUUGGGCCGCAGGCGGCCUCGUGAGCCGGGGCGGCGGCUGCAGGCAGCGGGGUGCCGUGGGCGGGCAGGGCAGGGCCGGGCGGGGCGAGGCGAGGCGAGGCGGCCGCUCCUCGCCCUCUGGGCACGGCCGCCCCCCGCCGCAUCCCCUCACAGUGCUGGAGUGGGGUUCUGUGCUUUACAUGCCCCAGGGCAUGGCUCAAUCUGGCAAACCCUGGAGUGAAGCUGCUUUCAGCGUGUGGAGACUGAGUGCCACCGACAGCCUGUUGUCUGUUCGUGCUCAGAGAGUUAUGUGGAAGGACAGGAGUGACUCAGUAAUAGGAAGUAUUAGUUGCACUGAGGCAAAACCAGGGAGUUCAAUAACUUGGGACAGCAGUGAGCUGCUCUAACUGGAGAACACCCUUCUAACCAUAAAGGGGAGCUGCUCUGUCUAAGAUUGAGUGUAAGACAUAAAUGAUCCUCCAAAGAAGCUUUUCUCAAAAAAAAAAAGAGCUUAUUUUCUGAAGACAACUUUGUCACUUGAACUAGAGAUGCUUCUUACCUUGACUGAAAAGGCAGACUAUGGGCACAAACUGGAAGACUCCUCAAGGUAAAAUAGGAACAUGUCAUGUGGAGAUACCUGUAUCCUAUUUAAAAUGAUUUGUUUUAAUACUUUGUAGUAAAGUGUCUCCAGGACUCUACCCAUAGAUUAGCCAACCUGGUUUUGGUGCAGCUUUUUCCAGGGAAUAAGACUAAAAUUCCUUUCCUGUAGGAGAAACCAAAUUAGAGUUGAAUAGAGGAAGCUAUAAAAUCAGACCUAUUUACUGCAGGCAGCAAUAUUUGAGUUAAAUGUUAAACUCACUGAAUUAGUGUAAUCAACAUUUGACACCUCAGAAGAGGUAAUACUACUGUGGGAAUGAGGAAGGGCAUCAGCUAUUUGUGUGAUAUCAGACCUAAUAUGUAGCAUGUAUUCAUAUUUCUCCUUAAUUUGGAGAUCCAGGUAUUCAUCUUUCUCUUGUGGUCAGUGCAUGUUGCUGUAUCUCCUCUGCUGAAAAAGCAAAAAUUGCAGGGAAAAAAAAAUUCCAAAAAUAUAUGGCUAUACAUUAUACAGCAACAAUCUGUUAGAAGCCUAUUCUCAGAGAAGGCAAAAAUAUAGCUAAGGAUGCUAAUACUCUUCCUUCCUUUUUCUGUUCUGAUUGCAGGUAAGUCUACUGGUGGGGGUUUUUAUGAGGUGAGGGUAAUACAUUAUGACAAAUUGUUAGUGACAGAUGGAUUUUUUUUACUUAGCUUACUUCUAAAGCAAAAUGAUCUGGAUUAGCCACUUCCUGCCCCCCGAGGUGGCUGCACAACUUCUCAGGUUACCUAAAUUAAAGACUUAAUUUGGCUCAGUAAGUUACUCUAUCAGGUUGAGAGCCAAGAAGGUGUUUUAUAAAUACAUGAUUUCUGCAUGCUGAGCAGUGUUGUUCAGUCAGAGGGAAGAGGAGAAUGGGGGGGGGAGUCUUUAAUUGCUGCCUUCAGUUACCUAAUGGAUCAUGACAUGAAACCAGCUCUUUCUUGGUGUUGUGCAGCAAAAGGGUGAGAAGCACUGGGCACAAGAUGCAGCAAAGGAAAUUCCAGAUAGGUGUAAGGCAGAAGAAAAAAGAUAGACCUGUAGCUACACAGACGUGACUAGAUUGCUUGUAGAAGCUAUGAAAUAUCUUUGCUUGGGGAUGCUCAGAUUUUGAGCAGGGAGUUUGCUGUAGGUGAUUUCCAGAGAGCCUUCCAGAGGUCAUUUCCACUGUAAGAUGUUUUUGGUUUCCAUUUGGUGAUUAGUUCACGACUUUUCUUCACCGAGAAGGCUUAUCGUUCUGAGCUGUCUUUCUGAUCUUCGAUGGUAAUCACUUUUCAUGUCUCAUUUGUUAAAAUUAUGCUCACUAGAGUCAGAAAUGGUGUCUGUGGAGACAGUGCUUUUGUAAAGCAUGUAUUAACUGAAAGGUUCUGACUGCAUGUCUGUUUUACUGUAUUUGUCCAAGUAAAGACUUCCAAAAGUGAAACCAGCUUUGAAGGUUCUCUUACAGUGCUGUUUUUGGUGCUGUUUUUUCAACUUCAGUUAAUUUUAUGUAUUUACAGUUCACAGGACUAAUACUCAGCAGAAUAUUUUGGAGCAGAGUGAGCUAAGAAGUUGAAGACAGGUUGUAUUCUCUUUAAGAGAAAAAUUCUAGGGUGUGAACUUUGAUGCAGAUGUGCAACUUAAUGGUGUAUUCAAUUUCUGCCUACUGUUCCUUUGUUUUAAACUGCUUAUUUAAAAGCAUAAGAACACCCCUUCCUCUUUCUGUGUUUGACCCCCAGCAUUCUGCAUGCUCAGUAUACUCCAGCUAAUACUGAGAUUAUUUGGAUUGCAGGUGAAUGUCUGCUUUUUCAUGGGCUGUGGAGAAGGACAGUGAGCAGCCUUUGUAGUUGCUACUCCUGUAUAUUUUUGGGAAAUAAUGCAAGAAAUGAAUAGGGGCCAGUUUUGUCUUGCAUGCUGUGUCUGUUCUUGAGUUUGUUAGAUUGUAGUCAUUCUCUCUGAUGCAGUUCUAGAUUGAUGGUCAAUUAUUUUUACCUCGUAAACCUCCAUUCUUUGAAACGAGUGAAUCAUGGGCCAGAGUGUGUAGGACAGCUUUUUUCUUAUGCUUAGUCACAGGAGACUAAGCUUACAGUUUUAUUCUAACUUAGCUCCCCAAGAUAUGCAGAGCAGCUGGGUGGAUGCUGUUCUUAAUUAGGAUCUGAACUUUAUUUUGGCUCGCACCAUCACUGUUUCAUUGUUUAUCUUCCUUUGGUAAGAUGAGAACAGUAUCUUAUGACAAAAACAUUUAGUUGUUUGGUUUUCUGUAAUGGUUAUGUAUGACAUUUGCAUCCUCACUGAAAUUUGGGCUUAGAUAUGUUAAUAGUGUACUGUUUUACACAUUCCCAUGCAUUCUUAAAAUAUGAGAUGCUUUUUUUGACAGCUCAAUUUAAAACUUUUUACUUCCUACACAGUGAAACUGUCAGUUUUAGUGUUUGCACAUAUGUAUAUAUUUAGUGUAUCCUUCUAGUAUUUGAAGAGAGCUUCUAAGCAGGAAGGGGAGUGACUUUUUACAUGGUCUGAUAGUGAUAGCUCAAGGGAGAAUGGCUUUAAACUAAAGGAGGGGAGAUUUAGGUUAGAUGUUAUGGAAAAAAAAAUCCUUUCUCAGAGGAUAGUGAGGCACAGGAGCAGGCUGCCCACAGACGUUGUGGCUGCCCCAUCCUGGUGGUGUUCAAGGCUGAGUUGGAUGGGGCCCUGGGCAGCUUGAUCCAGUGAGAGGCAACCGUACCCAUGGCACGGAGUUGGAGCUUGGUUAUCUUUAAGGUUCCUUCCAAUGUAAGCCAUUCUGUGAUUAGUGAUUGUAAGAAGCAGAGCGUGUGGUUUCCUGAAAAUAUACAGGAAAUGCAGUUCUAAAACUACUUACAUAUGCUUCCUACUUCAUAAUUCAUUGUGCACUGUAAACUUCUAAUGCUAUAGCGAACUCUGUGGCUGUUAAAUGAUCAGACUGCCCUAUGUUAGGACAGAUUGUAAUCUAUCUGAAUCACUGCGUGACAUUUAUGCUGUUGAAAUUGAAUUGGACUAUGUGAGAGCUGAAAGCUAUGGCACUUAAAUUCAGCACUGAUUCAGACACUGUGUUUUACUCGGGGCAAAUAACUUAAUGUCUAAUACUCAGUUAUGUUCUGGUCAGUAGAUGUGACUUAAAAUAAUUGGAGCAAUAGCAGGGAUCUGCUUUAACUUUCUUUUUCAGUUAGCUAUUUGUGCAUGAGAACUGAGACUUCUAAUUCACUGAGUAAUUGUAAUCAUGCUGAUCAUGGAAUGAGGAUAUCUUAAGAUAUGGGAAGAAAAUAAGCUCUGUGGGAAAUACAUAAGCUCUCUUUAGCUUCCUUGUUCCCCUGCAUCUUCCUUUCCCUUCUUGCUUUCCUUCUUCCCAUCUUGUUUAACUUUCUGAUCACGGUGCGGUCCAAGCUCAGUAUGACUGAUAAAAUAAUAUGUGGCACUUGGGAAAACUGCAGUACCUCUCUGUGACCUGUGUGGCUUGGGUUUGGAAACUGAAAGAGCACAAACUUCAGGUAUCACAGCAGUGCCCUUUUUGUUGGUGUUAAACCUCUUGGUGAAUCCCUUGUACUGACAGCUUAAGAGCCAGAUUGGUAAAUGUUGUGUGUCAGGAACAGUUUAUGUAGUUUAAAGAUUCACAUGGUUCUUCACAUUUUCUGUAUGAGGAAUUUGAAGGGGAAUUCACAUUGCAAGAAAUGCUACAUUCAUUGUUGUUCUUCAGCAAAUACAGUUAACAGCAUUAAUGGAAGCCAGCAAUCAAUGUCCUUCUGUUUGCAGUGACGUUAGAAUAAGUCCUGGUUCUGUGCUUUUAAGCUUUAGCAGGGUUAGAGGACAGAACCUUUGACAAAAGCCGGAGUGUGGUGUCUUUUUGUAUUUGUUUGUAAGUGUUCAGGAGAAUAGCAGAAGAUGCUUAAUCUUCAGUUUUCAUAGAAGAACUUUUAUGGAAGUUCUAUCCUUCAAAAGUGUAGUUGCACGGAACUACACUGCAGAUAUAUUUUCUUAAUGUUUUUGGAUAGAGCUGAAAAUUUAACUCCUUUGUACAAACAUGAUCACACUGUUAGAUGUUGUGCUGGGGUUGGUAGCUGACAGUUUGGUAAAACAGCAAGAGACUUCACUGUCAUUUGUAUUGGUUUUUUUGUGAUGAUCUGAGUGUUAAAAUGAAGCUGGAGGGAGUGUCCUCUCUUUAGGCAGGUGACAUUGUGGUAACCUUCAUUACUUCCUUAAGAAGCAAGUGUUGAAGGAGAGCAGCACAAGAAAUGGUUCACUGCAGCAUAAUGCUUAGCAGCCUAAUUAGUCGAAUACCAUGUGCCUACCUCUGCAUGAAAUAACCCAUUUCUUCACAAGGUAAAAUAGGAAUUUUCAGUUUUGGAACAGCCUGAAGAGGCCUUUGUUGCAAAUGUCCGUUGGCUUUUUAACUAUUUAUUCUCAAAUAAUGAAGGUCAGCAUGGUAUCCAUAGAGACUGCAUGCAGCUUCCUCGUUAAUCUUGGCAAACUCCUGUAAUAACUACAUUCACUUAAUACUAACAAGUGUUCACAUUUCAUUAAUGGGAGAACAGUAUGGGAUUGACAUUCUGUAACUGAGAAAUCUUGAAUGUGUAGUUUUUCUUCUUUAAACUCUGUUAGAAUUUCCCUUUACGAGUUGCCUUGGAGGCCUGAACAGCCUCAGAACAAGCAACUUUAAAUUGCAGGAGUCUGCGUAUUUCCUGGAAGCAGAAAACUUCUUACUGGCUAAGCCUUUUCUUUCUGAAAGGAUCAAGAAUGAUAAACAAGGAUAAAUGGGUCUGCUUUCAGCUCUGUUAGUAAAAGGAAAGUUUUCUGCUAUGAACUAGAAUAUAAAGGCAUUGAAGUAUUAUGUAAAUAUGAUCAAGCUAGAAUGAUAAGAUUUAAAAAAAAUAACCUCAUAGCAGACUCUCCACCUCUGCUUUUUUUUCUUCCUUUUUCUUUAACCAAGAAUGGGAGAAUUUCUGCAUCACCAGAACACCGCUGAAGUCCUUUGUAUUUGACUGUCAGAUUACUUCUGUGCAGAAAAUUCUAAUCAGAGUGUUAAUAUGAAAUAACUGAGUGCUGUAUGCUUAAUAAUGACUUUGAUUUAAAUUAAAUUCUUUGUUCUUUAAUAGUACUUUGUCAUUUAAAUACUUUUAAUAUUGAAAGGGUUCUUUUAACUGAGAAGAAAGAAAUUGACUGCAUCAGAACAGAAUGCAGUCUUGUGGGACUUUCUGGUACUGAGUUGCUGAAGGGGGGGAAGUAAAAUGGUUCCAUCCAGAGGCUGUUAUUGUUUUAUUCCCACCCUGACACUUUCAAUGCUUACCCCAGGAUAUAUAUAUAUAGAGAGAGAG
ensembl:lncRNA